rnacentral:tRNA from 2 species
GGCGAUAUGGCCGAGCGGUCUAAGGCGCCAGAAUCAGGAAGUGUCCUAUCUGGUCCUCACGGGCGUGGGUUCGAAUCCCACUGUCGUCA